rnacentral:lncRNA from 1 species
CUUUCUCCCUGCUUGAUAUCAUGAUCUGCAGUAAAUUGCCCUCUGUCAUAAGGAACUUCUUAUUGUCCCUACUAUUUUCUUUACAUAGUAAUAUAGAUUUAUUACCUGUCAUGUCUAAAAUUGCCUCUUAGUUGCACGUAUGAUAACUUUUUAUUACUUGUGUGGGAAGUGCUGGAAGUGAGUUCAGGAUAAUCUUCAGGAUGAGUUUUAGUUCUAGGUAGAUGUACCUGGAGCUGAUACGGACCACAUGGUCAGCCGUGGUCAAACAUGAUAACAUUGCUCAACCAUGGUUAACUGCAAGGCUCCCCAUGCCAGUGUGUACCACCAUGUACUGGAUUAAUUGUACUAUACUGGUGCCAAACCAAGACUCAGUACAAAUGGUUGCAAGACUCAAUACA